rfam:Ciona savignyi cont_51461, whole genome shotgun sequence.
GUCAAGCAAUCUCGGGCUUGGUUAGUACUUGGAUGGGUGACCGCUUGGGAAUACCAAGUGUGAUAAGCA